UGUUUUGAGUUCAGCACCGUGAUAUAGACAUGGAUUUUGAGUCCCAGCUGUACUUUUUACUUGAUGUAUGAUCAAGUCACAUAACCUUUUCUUGAAUGUUAAGUCUUUUUCCCACUAAAAUCAGAGAUAACAUUGGCUGCCUCACUGAGUUGUUAUGAGAAUUAAGUGAAAUAACACAAGUGAAAGAACCGAUUAAAUAUAUUGCAAGUGCUCUGUCAAUGACCUGACUGCUGUCUGGAGGUUUUCUUGAAUCUGAAUUACCAGAAAAAAAUUGCCUGUACUCUCUCUUUGUCUUUCCAUGGGUGCACACAGCUUUCCUCAACCGCAAGUCAGAUCUGAGUGAAUGCCUGAAAAACCUGGAGAAGGAUAGGCACUUGGUCUGAGGGUGGGGCUGCAUGUGCAUUCCAUCUGACAGCCUAGGGCCCCACAAAUACAAACUUAGUCACUCUGGAGUGUAACAGGGCUUCUGGCUGACUCCAGAGUUAGAGCAAGCAUAAUGGGACAAAAGAAAAGGGUACAGGGGACAUGGUAUACUCAGUUGACUUUUGUCAGCCAUGUCAAGAGGCAGAAUGGAGUGCUCGUUAUAAGCAAGGAUAUCUGGAGCCUGCUUAGAACAGUGCUCAAUAUACUAGGUAUCAGUGCUUUCGAGAGGCAGCAGAGACUCAAGCUAAAGCAUGUGGCUCUGAAUGAGCUGCCUUAGUCUGUUUUCACCGUUUACUGACUAGAUGACCUUGGGAAGUUCUUGCAGUCCUUCGGUUUCUUCAUCUGUAAAAUGGGGGGUGGUAGUAAUACUUCAUAGGGUUGUUUUUGUUAUGAUUUAAUGAGUUAAUAAGUGUCAAGGGCUUAGAACAGUGUCUGGCAUGUAGCACAUAUUUGCUGUUAUUGUUGUUUUUAUUAUCAUUAUUACAGGUAAGCUGCCCCCACUCCUUUCCUUCCAGCUCAAAAAAUGUAGAUUACUCCCUAGCCAACCUGAAGGAGAAGGCUGUUGAUCACCCAGAAAUCUUUCUAUGACUCUCACCUGUAUGGCUGGUCAUGCCUACUUUAUCCUAAGGUGGUUCUUUAAAAGUUCGCUCCAGGAGGGACACAUUUACCCCUCCCAGGAGGCUGUCGCAUCCCACACCUUCACUCUACCCUUGCAUGUGGUGCCCAUUAGUCCCUUGUGAUUUUUCACCACCUUCAGUUCCUCGACUUGUGUUUUUCCUCUCCCUUCCAGUUCUUGAGUAUGAUGAAGGGCUGUCCUGAGUCCUGUCGACAGUGAGGGGAUGUUGCACUGAUCAGACCAGGGCUGCUAUUUUUCUGGAUGAAUAGUGAAAUUUGACUCCUUAUUGCCUGCUUCAUCCGAACACAUCACAGAGCAAUUGCCAACAAGCAGUUCUUCUGGAUAAUGUCCUGGGCCUCAUUUUCCAUAUUAGAACACGUGGAAUGCUAAAAUCAAAAAGAUGCAUUUCAAAAUAUUGAACAGUGAAAUGUCAUGUUAUCUGUGAUUGCUUUGAAAUACUUCAGCAAGGGAAAAAAAGAAUGAAGCAAGUAAGUAUCGCAUUCAUAAUUAUUAAAUUUGGG